AGCUCCAAUAGCGUAUAUUAAAGUUGUUGCAGUUAAAUAGCUCGUAGUUGAAUUUUGGACCGGGUCUGUCGGUCGGCCCUUUGGGUCGUACUGACGGCUUGGUCUUUCUUUCUGGGGAACUUGUGUGCACUUUACCGUGUGUGCAAGGGAUCCAGGACUUUUACUUUGAAAAAAUUAGAGUGUUUAAAGCGGGCUUUUGCUUGAAUACAUUAGCAUGGAAUAAUAGAAUAGGACUUUGGUUCUAUUUUGUUGGUUUCUAGGGCCGAAGUAAUGAUUAAUAGGGAUAGUUGGGGGCAUUAGUAUUUAAUUGUCAGAGGUGAAAUUCUUGGAUUUAUGAAAGACUAACUUCUGCGAAAGCAUUUGCCAAGGAUGUUUUCA
rnacentral:rRNA from 1 species